rnacentral:rRNA from 1 species
GGACCCGCACAAGUAGUGGAGCAUGUGGUUUAAUUCGAAGAUACGCGCAGAACCUUACCAACACUUGACAUGUUCGUCGCGACUUUAAGAGAUUAAAGUUUUCGGUUCGGCCGGACGAAACACAGGUGCUGCAUGGCUGUCGUCAGCUCGUGUCGUGAGAUGUUGGGUUAAGUCCCGCAACGAGCGCAACCCUCACUUUUAGUUGCCAUCAUUUAGUUGGGCACUCUGAAAGAACUGCCAGUGAUAAGCUGGAGGAAGGUGGGGAUGACGUCAAGUCCUCAUGGCCCUUACGUGUUGGGCUACACACGUGCUACAAUGGCGGUGACAAUGGGGCAGCGAAGGGGCGACCUG